rnacentral:rRNA from 1 species
UUGGAGGGCAAGUCUGGUGCCAGCAGCCGCGGUAAUUCCAGCUCCAAUAGCGUAUAUUAAAGUUGUUGCAGUUAAAAAGCUCGUAGUUGAAUUUCGGGGUUCUACCGUUGGUCGGGCUUUGUCUGUACUGGUGUGUAGAAUUUCUACCUUCUGGGGAACCAUCAUGCUAUUAAUUUAGCGUGGUGGGAAACCAGGACCUUUACCUUGAAAAAAUUAGUGUGUUCAAAGCAGGCUUAUGUCUGAAUACAUUAGCGUGGAAUAAUAGAAUAGGACGGUGGUCCUGUUUUGUUGGUUUCUGAAUCACCGUAAUGAUUAAUAGGGAUAGUUGGGGGCAUUAGUAUUCAAUUGUCAGAGGUGAAAUUCUUGGAUUUAUUGAAGACUAACUUCUGCGAAAGCAUUUGCCGAGGAUGUUUUCAUUAAUCAAGAACGAAAGUUAGGGGAUCGAAGACGAUCAGAUACCGUCGUAGUCUUAACCAUAAACUAUGCCGACUAGGGAUCGGACGAUGUUAAUUUUUCUUGACUCGUUCGGCGCCUUACGGGAAAC